CGGAAUUUCCACGCCUUAGCUCUCUUCAAAAGUUGAAAUUAAAAGUUGUGAAUACUUGAAUCAUUCCAAAAACUUAAUUUAAUGGAGACGUCUGCAAGGAAGCUGAUCUUGUGGUCUUGCUGCGUCUUCACGACAGCCUUAUGUGCGGACCUGCCCCUGUGACCUGUCAGGGGAAAAUAUUUUAAUUUUGAACCAAAGGCUCUCCGCCCCAGGAGAGGUAUUAGUGGCGGUCCGAGCAGGAUACAGGAAACGCCCCACUUCCAGAGGCGUUCCUGUUUCUUUAAAGUGCCCGGUGUAGAGCAACGAUACACUGCACCCCCGUUUAACGUCCCUCGCGGAAGACAUGUAGCGGCGAGUUCUCCUGUAUUCUCAAUUGCACCGGUGAUAACAACGCAAUUUUAUAAGAUGUUCCGUCCUAUCUGCGCUUAUGAGACCUUAUUUUGCCUGUGAAGGGAGCUAUGAAAAUGUCGACCAACGAAUUAACUGAAGAUUAUCUGGAAAGGCAAGUCCUGUUUUGGAGGAAAGAUAUCACGAGAUGCAUACAGAAACCGACCCUCGUCUCCCGACUUGCCGCUCUUGAUGUCAUCAGUCAAGAUACAUCGAUGAAGCACCAUGACGGUUAUAUAAAAAAUGAUGCUUUACUCGCUGCUGAAAAAUUGAUUAAAGCUGUCUUCAAGAGCAAAGCACCUAACAAGUGGUUUUCAUUUCUGCAAGCACUGGACGAGGAAGGAUUAGCGCAUUUAAAAAAACUAAUAGAGUUAGGAACCCAGGAAACGCGAGAAGAACGCGAACAUGGCCGAAAAAUGAUCCAGAUAUUUGCCCCUGAACUGGAGAGACGUGUUGACCCUCUCGAUUUGUUGGGUGACCUUGUUGCACGAGGUGUAAUAGAUGAUGACGACGCAGAUGCUGUUCGUGGGAUGCAAGCAAACAAUGGGAGAAGAUAUGCGGUUGUGUGCCUGUACAGACGAAUGCAGAGUCGUUUACGUCCUGCGCAAUGGUACUACGAGUUUCUCUGUGUUCUUCAAAUACAAGGAUAUACAGACAUUUUAGAAAUGAUGGAGCCGCAAUUUUUGAUAACACCCACUGCAUAUAUUCCAAAACCAGAGGAUGCUCGGGUACCAAAUAAGCCACCCAGAGAUUAUGCUGUGACUGAACAUGUUUUACAAGACUUACUCUAUCCCAGCCAGGAAACGAAACUGAAUGCCAAUCCGUCCAUCUGGAAUGCAGACUUUAAUAUUCAACAUGCAUCUGCUGUUGGCUGGUGUUUCGACCCCCUAAUUGAAACCAUGUCCUCUGAUUCGACUGCUUAUAAUAAGGAUCAAAUGCCUGUUGCUCUAGCCCACGACACGGAUUAGGGCUUUGUUAGAACUUAUGGUUUAUCUAGAAGACCUCCCGUUUCAUCAAUGUCAAUAUCAUCAGAAAGCUCUUCGCACACUUCUGAUAACGAUAGCAUUGACGACGGUCGUCCUCUUCUGGGUCAUGCUAAACGAAUUACCGCAGACGGAGAUGACAAGCGUUUGAAUCGCAAUUCUGCAACAUAUGUCACGUAUGUCGACAGUUCAUCGUCUCAGUUUGAUCAGUCAGAAGACACUGAUGCAUUCUGCACUGAUAAAGAAUCUUCAUUGUGUGACGACAGCGAAAAUAUGGAUGGUACAGGCAAUGGGUUAUACACAACGGUGUUCGAACAAUAUAAGCAAUUUAAGCAAGAAAGCGCCAAAUUUCACAGGAAAUUGACGGCAAAAGGGCUAGAGAUUGACCCAAACUUUGUUGGCAGAGCCGGGCUGUUUACUAAAAUCAUAGAAAUUCUUCAGAAACGUCCGGGGUUAAAUGGUCCAAGCUCCGAGAGACAUGCAAAAGGAGUCGUCUUGUGCGGACUGCCAGGUAUGGGUAAGACAAGUUUAGCAAUCCAGAUAUGUAACAACCUUUUGUGUGGUUCGACAACAAAUAUCGUUAGAAAAUGGAAUGUCAUCGUCGUCAAUCAAAGGUAAGCUUGGAUUGUAAUCUUGUCUUAUCAAAAUGUGGCUUGACGUUAUCUGUGCAUUCACAGCACAGAAGAAAGACAAAGGUAUACUGUCUUUAAAACAACGGUUUUAUUUCCCCGAGUUGGAUACUUUUUUACAACGUUUCGUAGAUUUACUUUCAGUAUUUGAAUAACAAGCGCUUUAAUCGUUGUUUCCAGUUUUGCAAUUAACAUAGUGGCAGGAUUUAUUCAACAUUUUUGCUAUUACUCCAUUAAUGUUUUUAUUGAUUCAUCUUUUCUCUUCCCAUUUAUGUAUCGAUACUUUUUGUUUCGCACUUUGAAACUUUCUCGGCAAAAGGGGCAAGCUCAGUGAGUAAUGGGUUUAAUUGAAAAUAAAGGAUUCUUCAUAACCUUUUAAGUUGUAGGUCAUACACUAAUUUGUAAGAAAAUAUCUCUAAUACAUGCCAUUCGUAUGUGCUUAAAGUGCAGCCAAUCGGCCUGGAUCUCCCUUUCCUGUUAAUGAAAAAUGUGAUAUGUUUACUUACCGCAAUAUAUCUGAAAUAAUUCUCUGAACAGCAAACAUUCAACUUACCGUUUCUAACAUCUUGGUGUGACGUUAUCAUGUAUUUUUUUACAUUUCCGCUACUGUUAGGGACAGAUCAGAGAUUGGAGAGCUAUUGUCCGAUAUCAUCGAGGGCAUUGGCAAAGAGAUGGGGAUGGAUGAUAUCAUCUGUGAGUUUAACUCCGUGACUUAUCAGAGAAAAAAUGUCAUGUCUCUUCUAGCAGAGCUAGGCAAGAGUAAAAGAGAUUACCUUGUACUUCUUGAUGACAUGGAUGGACAUUUAAAUCAUGAACACUCACCUUGCGAAGAGUUCCUGACAGAUAUCUUUGAUACUAUUGCAAAAGUGAACAAUAUACAAAUUCUUAUGACUGUGUGCAUGUCGAUGUCGAAAUCUGAUACAACUAAUGUUUGCGGUGGAAAGCCGGCCUUCAGAGGACAUCUGAUGGAAUACAAGGUUACCGGCCUAUCAUAUGAGGACGCGCAGAAAAUAAUUUCUCAAAUCAGCGGACGAGAAGAUGAGGUCGCCGUGGUUAGCAUGGGUGAUUUAACAAAAGCUGUAGAAUGUCAUAAGGCUGCAAAGGCAUCCAAUUGUACUAGACCCAGUUUUAUCAGUCAAAGAAUAGAAUUUGCAGCAAACAUAGCUGCAUGCUUUCAUCAGAUGGGAGUUAACACGAAGACUGAAGACGAUCGCAAGAAACAUUUCCACGAUGCGCUAAAAGAAUAUAAUAACUGCAUUAGUUUCAACAACCAAAUUGGAAUGGAGGAUUCCACGACCUGUUUGACAAUGCUUCGUAACCGUGCGGACAUAUUUUGUUACAGACGAACUAGAAAGAGCACUUACAGAUGGGAAAAAUAUACUGAGACUUGCAAGAAAACUUUACGUUUCUCCACACGUAGAUAUCACGAUGGCAAUAGAGCGGACAGCGUUUUACUAUUUCAAACUCGGAAAAAGCUUAGUGGAUGAAGACGGAAAAAAAGAUAAAGGAACUACUUUCAUGCACAAGGGUCUAGAGUUAUACGAAGACAUGUUAAGGGAGAUCUGCCAUGGUGGUCUUCUUCCUUUUGAAAACAACGACGAUCGAGAUAUCUUUUCUGAGCUGGAGGAGCUUAUAAGGAACCGUCUGGAUCCUGUUCAACCGAAAAUAGAUCAGUCCGUUUACGUUGAGGUACUUCGUCACAUUGAAAACGGCGACAGUUCAAUGUGUGACGGUCCAAAUAAUGUAGCUUAUCAGCAUUUGAUUGAAUGGCUACGAAAUCGGAGGAUGCAGCUUCCAACUAACCAGCACUACAGGAACGCGAAAGCAAAUCAUAUCAAACUGAUGGAGAAACUCGGUCUAAGUAAGAAAGCCAUCGAGAAAACUCAACGCAAGUAUCAGGGUUUCGAACUUGGAAAAUUCAACAAACUUUUGAGCAAACAGUACUCGUAUGUCCCCGAUUCUGAGGAACAGGAACGUGGUAGACAAGCUAUUGUAGCUGGUGCGGAAUUCAUGCUUGAUCCAGAUAAGAAUAUGGACGACUCAUCUAAUGACUGGACUGACACUGACGAGUCAGAAUCGAGUUCUGAUGAUGAUACUACUGCAGACACUCAUUAUGCUAUGGUUUAUCUAUGGAUGUGUAUUCAUCAUAUCGGUGUGCGGAAUACAUCGCCAACGUGUAGCUGGUUACCACUCAAAAGGCUACAUUCUUCAUCCGGUCUUUAUGAAGCGUGGUAAAAAUGUUUAUAUGAACAAUAUGUGAACAAUAUCAAGGCCUAGUUUGUAUCUGGCAUACGUGCGUCAAAUCUUAAAAAACCUUAUUACCACUCAAGAUGCCUCAUUUAUGACUCGACAUUUUAAAUCUUUGGCAAAAUAUUUACCUUGACAUUUUCGAGGAUUACUUAAAAUCUGGGUCACUACGUCACUACAUCAAAUAUUAGAAAAUCCGUAUUGUUACUCUAGGGACGACAUUGAUGACUCAAUCUUGACGAAACUCGGUCUGAAUAUUUUUCUUGACAAUGCUGGCCGAGUUCGAAUCUGCUUCGCGUUCGUUUAAAAACUAUGACACCUGGUCCAUGCUUACAAAAACCUUGGUACCACUCUAGGGUAUGGUGUAUGACUCACUCUAUAUCAAACUCGGUCAGAAUGUCUAUAUUAACAUUGUAUACAUUGGGUUUGAGUCUAAUUCAUGUGCGUCUAAAAACAAAUCAUCAAGUCAAAUCUUAUAAAAAAAAACCUUCGUUACCACCAUAAACGACACUUUUAUGACUCAGUUUUGAUGAAACAUGGUCAGAAUAUUUAUUUUCACAAUAAAUAGGCUGAUAUAUACGCUGAAUUUCAACCGAAGCGUUGUUCAUCGGCAGAAUUCUUUUAAUAUAUUUUCGGAAACGUAGUUUCUGUUUGAUGUUUUUCCAUCUCGUUUUUAUUUUAUCAACAAAUUUUUUUUUUUAAUGUUUUAUCAAUUAUAGAUAAUUUAAUUAGUUCAUUUUGUUAUAACUAACUUUCUAAAUAUUUUGUUUCAAUGUAUUUUAUGCGUUUUGGAUAUCAAGCAAUAUUUAUAUUUUGAUCUAAAUUUUACGUCAUUAUCAUUUUGACGUAAUAACCAUUCGGAUUUAGAGAAACUAACAUUUGUUAGGUAAAUAAGUAAAACAGUGUUCGGUAAAAUUCAAUUACAUUUAGUUUUAAACUCGGUGUAUAUAUUUUAACAAGUUUUUUUAAUUAUUGCAUUAUAUAAAUAAUUGUGUAGUAUUGUAUUUUUACCAAUUUAUGAAUGCAACAUGCAUAUUAUGACGACAACAAUCGCUUAAGCAAACGAGUAAAAUUAUAAAUGCUUCCUUGCGUUGUUUAUACGGUCAGACUUUAAAAAAGCACACGCAUUUCUAUUAAUACAAUAUACGCCCUAGCGUGCAAUAGUACAAAUAUUACUUAAUGGGACUAGGAUAGCACUGUAGGAAAAAAGGGCUUUUCCUGCAUCAUAUGUAACAUAAAUGCAUUACACGUAAGGUCAAAUAGCCCAUGAGCAGAAAAAAUAUGAAAGUGAAGCGAAAAUAAAUAAUAAUCCAUAUCGUCCAAAUGGCAUAUACAUUACGCCAUAUAACUUUUAAUAUUAAAAGGGUCUUACAGUUAUCUUCUACAAUAGAAGUAAUUAUCACCAUUUUUUAAAUUUUUAAAUUUAUAUAACUACAUAUCUUAUUGAUACAUGAUGACUGUAUAAAUUUGAUUAACAAGAUAUUGUCAUGAAUACGACAUGCAUCUGAUAACUCAUCUUCUAGAGCCAUAAACUAAGUGGCUUUCUACCAGCAUGUCACGUUGAAAUGAUUUUGUUCCAUUACUAUUUCAGUUUGGGAUUGCUGUUGGUAAAAAAGUACCAUACGUUGAUAUUUAAAAGAAUGUAUUAUGUGAGUAAUAUAGUGGAAUUUGGUCAAAGUCCACAUUUUAUACGGUGACAUGUUUGCAAGCUUCUC